rnacentral:rRNA from 1 species
ACGAACGCUGGCGGCGUGCCUAAUACAUGCAAGUCGAGCGGAAUGAUGAAGAAGCUUGCUUCUUCUGAUUUUAGCGGCGGACGGGUGAGUAACACGUGGGCAACCUACCUUGUAGAUUGGGAUAACUCCGGGAAACCGGGGCUAAUACCGAAUAAUCCAUUUUGCUCCAUGGCGAGAUGUUGAAAGACGGUUUCGGCUGUCACUACAAGAUGGGCCCGCGGCGCAUUAGCUAGUUGGUAGGGUAAUGGCCUACCAAGGCGACGAUGCGUAGCCGACCUGAGAGGGUGAUCGGCCACACUGGGACUGAGACACGGCCCAGACUCCUACGGGAGGCAGCAGUAGGGAAUCUUCCACAAUGGACGAAAGUCUGAUGGAGCAACGCCGCGUGAGUGAAGAAGGUUUUCGGAUCGUAAAACUCUGUUGUAAGGGAAGAACACGUACGAGAGUAACUGCUCGUACCUUGACGGUACCUUAUUAGAAAGCCACGGCUAACUACGUG